rnacentral:rRNA from 1 species
UGGGGAAUAUUGCACAAUGGGCGGAAGCCUGAUGCAGCGACGCCGCGUGGGGGAUGAAGGCCUUCGGGUUGUAAACUCCUUUCGACAGGGACGAAGCUCUUGUGACGGUACCUGUAUAAGAAGCACCGGCUAACUACGUGCCAGCAGCCGCGGUAAUACGUAGGGUGCGAGCGUUGUCCGGAAUUACGGGGCGAAAAGAGCUCGUAGGUGGUUUGUCGCGUCGUUUGUGAAAUUCCGGGGCUUAACUCCGGGCGUGCAGGCGAUACGGGCUGACUUGAGUGCUGUAGGGGAGACUGGAAUUCCUGGGGUAGCGGUGAAAUGCGCAGAUAUCAGGAGGAACACCGAUGGCGAAGGCAGGUCUCUGGGCAGUAACUGACGCUGAGGAGCGAAAGCAUGGGUAGCGAACAGG